CUAUACAUUCACAGAGAACAGUCGCAUAUAACGUAUUUUUAACAUAGACGUGUUAUUAUUGUCGAAAUAUUACUUCGCAGCUCUUUUGCGAAGUGUUUUACGAAGUGAUUUUUGUUUCAAUUUAGUGUUGGUGACAUUUUAGGUGUCAAAAUGUGUUUCUCCAUAACAACCUGUUGUUGUUGUAUCAGUCUCGAGAUUGGCGCACAAAUAAUCAGCAUUAUAAGUUUAAUAGUUGCUCUAGCAGACACUGCGUACUGCGUAUGGUCGGCCAUCAUGUUGCCCCUGGUGCAGAUCAAAAUAAUCACCGCAUUUAUCAUCGUGGCCAUCAUGGCGCUGUUCGAGACGUUUUGCGCUUGCUUGCUUAUUUGCGGAGUUUUUAUGAAAAAGGCGAACUUCACAGUCCCCUGGCUUGUUCUAGCAUGGGUGAAAAGUAUCGCCUGUCUAGUCGUGGCGGCUUUCGGCAUCGCCGUCCUUGUGCUGAAGCCCGAUACUCUCCAUAAAUCCGAGGGUCCCGCUCCAACUCCUAGUAAUUCUACCGUUGAUUUACCGACAAAUGUGACAGAGUCAGUCGAUACUUCAGCACCGGACGUGCCAGCUAACACUAUCGACAAGACCACAAUUUUUAUUGUAAUUGUCGCUGCAUGCAUCUUGCAAGCUUUUCUACUGAUGUACUUCGCCUGCGUGGUGAACAGUCGUCGGAAGAAGAUCAGAGACGACGACUACUCACAGUACAUGCCCGUCCGUACAGAUUCCAUUAGAAACGUCUAUGUCCCCAUCACUCAACAGAUGCAGGCCCGACGCUAUGGUCACACUUCGUAAAUAUUAUUAAAAAUAAGUUAUAAGAAACCUCUAUAAAAACCUAUUAGAAGGAAUAAAAGAAAAGAAAAUCCAAGCAUAGUUUUUUCUACUACGUAAGUACUUUUGGAACAAAUCAAAGGAAAACUGAAUGCUUCGAAUAGGUAAAGAGGUUAAAGACUGAACUUCGUUCACUUCACACAUGAGCUCAUACAAACGAAGAAAUUAUUAUAUUUACCAUAAAAAUCAUGAUAUAGUUAUAGUACGAAAUAAUAUUUGCAUCGAUUCGUCUUAUCGCUUUAUCUUUCGCGUACAGUAGGACAAAAGGGUGAACCGUAACGGACGUGCCAUCUGUAUAGUGCAAACAAUGCUGAAUCAGUAAAAAAGCGUCGAUAGUCAAUAUUUUAAGAAGUACCUACGCACAGUUUACAAAAACGACCUAUGUGUAAAGAAAUAGUUCAAAGCUAGAAUUAACUAGAAAGAGUAUUAACUAUUUAACUAUUACCCUCGGACCAAGAUCAUUAAUUCCAUGUACGCUCAAAUCAAAAGAAGUGUGGUUUUGUUACCCUAUUGUAAUAUAAUACAAAUGAUAAACCGUUCAAAAUAUAACAUUCAUCGGUGCAAAUAAUAUUCUUCAACUAUAACAUCGAAAUUCAGCCAGAAGUUCAACAUGUAAAAAAAAGAAAAAUGUUUGACAUUUUUUGUACGAUCUCUCUCUCCUUCUCUAUUUUCAGUUAAUAUUCAUGUAAAAUUAGUCAAUUAUAAUUUAUGCUUUAUCUGUAUAAAAAAUGAACAAAUAAAUAAGUGCAAUGAUGUAAAAUUAGUGCAAUAUAAUAAAUACCAAAAUUAGUAAUAUAAGUACCUAUUGUAGUUUUAUGUUGACUGGUUUUUAAGUCCUUUCAAAGCCCUUUGUAAAGCGCAGGUCAUACAUAUCUCGACCGAAGCUAAAUUAAUCUAUUGCGUAUUUAUUUAAAUUUCUGUGUUAGCUCACGUAGCUGUAUGCAUAGCUAAGCUAAAAAAAAUACGGAGCCGUAGUCACAUGCUGCCACUCGACGCUAGUUUUUCGUUCAAAGCAGUAGCCGUACUGAUUCAUUUCCACAAAUGUAUAUUAUAAUCGUAUGGUUUACAAAUAGUAAAAUCGUCAAAUCAUUUCAGUAGCGCCAUUUCUUUCUCAGAGCCAUUGGUAUUGUGUACUUGCGUUCGCACGAUGCUACAGUGGUUGGGUAGUUAGCCCGCAUAGUUCAUUUAGCUGGUUGUGAAUAUAUUUAUGAAAAAUGCCGCGACUACGUAAGUUCAGCUAACUUAGCUGCUUAGCGCUUAAGGAGAAUAUUUUUUACUCAGUGAGUUGAAGAUUAAUUUUUAUAAUUCUGGAAUACGACCCUUAGAAGCGCAAGGGCGCGACCGUUUCAUGCCGUAAUAGUAAAAGCAUUGUCCUAAAAUACAAUUCCAUACGUUUUAUUUACCUCUUAAAUCGUAACGGCCAAGCGUAUCGUACUGU